CCAAGCCCGAGCUACACAAAACGGUAUCAUACUUCCUGCGACCAUGUCUAAGAAUCCGAUUGUCUUGCCGCCGAAAAAAUCUUUCCCGCUAAGUUCCUUCUCGAGGAAGGUAAUAAGUUCUUGAGCCUCUUCAAUCGCAACAUCUAUUCCCUUAUCUGCUUUCACCACAGACUUGAAACAUACUGGUCCGACCUACAAGAUAUAUAUAAACAGUUUUAUCUCUAAAAUGAAUUGGAGUUAACAUUUUAUUUUGUGGAAGGCAGAAAAUAAUGAUGUGAAUUAUUAGUAUAUAAUGAUAUUAACUAAGAUUGGUGGGUGACAUAUUUCUUUUUAUUUUGGUUAUUACUAUUUUUUUUGGCAAUUCAUUAAAUAUCGUUUGAUUUUAUACAUGUGAAAGCAAAUAGAAUUCACAAUUUUUUAACAGUUAUCAAAAAAAAAACUUUGUUCUACAAAAAUGAAUUUCACAAAUUUGUUACUAAUGAACAAAAAUUAUAUAUGUAUAUAUAUAUAAGAAAUCGUUUUUCACUUCACAGUUUCGAACUUUGGUGACUUAAUAAAAUGAGACGAAUCUGGAUCCGUCGGAUAUGUGGAUUUAGUAUCCGAAUCCAGACUAUGGUUUUUGGAUAUCCGGAUAUCUGUCUAGAUAUUAUUCUAUAUGCAGGUAUUCGAAUUCGAAUCUGUAAAAAUAAUUUUACAUAAAUAGCAAAUAUUUUUUAAAAUACUAAAAUUCUAAAAACAAUACAUAAAUUAAAAAUGCAUAUAAGAUUUAUAUGUAUGUGAUAUUAUAAGACUAAUUUCAUGCAAAAAUAUUAAUAUAUAAAAUAUAACUAUUAAUAAAAUUAAAAAUUUAAUAUUUUUAAAAAUAUGGAUCCGGAUCUUGAUAUUCAGACUUAAAAAUCAAGAUAUUUGGAUUCAGAUACAGCUUUGACAGAUCUAAAAUUUUACUAUCCGGAUCCAGAUACUUUUGAUAUUCUAUUUUGCAGUGGAUCCAGAGUGGAUUUCAGAUCGGAUCAAAAGUGGAUUUCAGAUCGGAUAUGGAUAUUGGAUAAUAAGUUCCAGCCUUAGAGAGAGAUGAUCCUAAAUUCAUUAUUUAAAAUGUAUCUGGUUUCUUCUGCAUCUUUUUUAGAGAUCCCGCACGUAUGCAAAUAGUUAAUAAAGGAAUUUGUAUAUGAGUUACCU
rnacentral:lncRNA from 1 species